rnacentral:lncRNA from 1 species
CAGAGCUCUCUGGUUUCCAAACUUGACAUUUUUUCUAAUCAAAACAAAGAAAUUUGUGAUGCUGCAAAUGCAAGAAACUAAGGUGGAAGAGAAUGGAAGGAAAUCUUGUCCAGUUUGGAAGAAACAUGCUGAUCCAGAGGAGGCAUUUCUCAGAUUGACUCACCAGAAAUAACCGGGAAGAAAUGACAUGAAAAUUGAUUGAAAUCAGGAUUUUACAUUUGAAAAUAAGUAGGCAUAUGAAGACAUGAAGGAGAACUCACAGAGAAUAUGAGAAUUCAUAUUUUUCAUAAACAGUCAAAUCUCAUACAAGAGAUUUCAUACUGGAGAUAAAACUCAACUGUGAAAAGUCCUUCCAAGCAAAGACAAAUUUCUUACAACAUCAGAGACUUUAUACAGGAGAGAAAUUCUAUCAAUGCAAGGACUGUGGCAAAGUCUUUUGUCAGAACCCACUUAUUAAAGAUCAAUGAUGAAUUCAUACUUAAGAAGAGCCAUAUAAAUGUCGGGAAUGUGACAAAGUCCUUAAUGAAAGUACCU